GACGAACGCUGGCGGCGUGCUUAACACAUGCAAGUCGAACGGAAAGGCCCUGCUUUUGUGGGGUGCUCGAGUGGCGAACGGGUGAGUAACACGUGAGUAACCUGCCCUUGACUUUGGGAUAACUUCAGGAAACUGGGGCUAAUACCGGAUAGGAGCUCCUGCUGCAUGGUGGGGGUUGGAAAGUUUCGGCGGUUGGGGAUGGACUCGCGGCUUAUCAGCUUGUUGGUGGGGUAGUGGCUUACCAAGGCUUUGACGGGUAGCCGGCCUGAGAGGGUGACCGGCCACAUUGGGACUGCGAGACGGCGCAGACUCCUAAGGGAGGCAGCAGUGGGGAAUAUUGAACAAUGGGCGGACGCCUGAUGCAGCAACGCCGCGUGCGGGAUGACGGCUUUCGGGUUGUAAACCGCUUUCGCCUGUGACGAGGCGUGAGUGACGGUAAUGGGUAAAGAAGCACCGGCUAACUACGUG
rnacentral:rRNA from 1 species